rnacentral:rRNA from 1 species
AGCGAACGCUGGCGGCAGGCCUAACACAUGCAAGUCGAACGAACCUUUCGGGGUUAGUGGCGGACGGGUGAGUAACACGUGGGAACGUGCCUUUAGGUUCGGAAUAACUCAGGGAAACUUGUGCUAAUACCGAAUGUGCCCUUCGGGGAAAGAUCUAUCGCCUUUAGAGCGGCCCGCGUCUGAUUAGCUAGUUGGUUGAGGUAAUGGCUCACCAAGGCGACGAUCAGUAGCUGGUCUGAGAGGAUGAUCAGCCACAUUGGGACUGAGACACGGCCCAAACUCCUACGGGAGGCAGCAGUGGGGAAUCUUGCGCAAUGGGCGAAAGCCUGACGCAGCCAUGCCGCGUGAAUGAUGAAGGUCUUAGGAUUGUAAAAUUCUUUCACCGGGGACGAUAAUGACGGUACCCGGAGAAGAAGCCCCGGCUAACUUCGUG